rnacentral:snoRNA from 1 species
AACCCCAUUUUCACUUUGCCACCUGGGCUGUCCUAUGUCCUAAGUGGUCAUUCAUGUGGGGGACAGUAUUUGUACUUCAGCACCCCGGCCAAACACCUACCGUAUGUUUGAACUUGGGUUGUUGAAGGAGACACCU